AUGAAGCCGGGAGGCAUCCUCAUCCUUAUGGGUCUUCUCGCUCUCAGCUUCGGGGUGCAGGAACUUCAGGCUGGUCUGAUCCCCUUCAAUGUUCUAGGUACCUGCGUAGAACUCUGCCAAGGUGACUGGGACUGUGAGAUGGGAGAGCGGUGUGUCAGCAAUGGGUGUGGGCACGUCUGCGCAGAUGAAUGAUAGCGCUCUGGCCUUUGAAGAUGUGAUCGUUUGGAGUUCCUUGUCCAGGAAGACAUGAAAAUAGGGGUUUGUGGAUGGGAUUACAAGGGUAUGAAGGGAAAGAGAACUUGUUUCUUUUAAUAAAUCAUCAUCAUUCAAAUA